ACCCGCACAAGCGGUGAUGAUGUGGAUUAAUUCGAUGCAACGCGAAAACUUACCUACCCUUGACAUGUCCGGAAUCCCGAAGAGAUUUGGGAGUGCUCGCAAGAGAGCCGGAACACAGGUGCUGCAUGGCUGUCGUCAGCUCGUGUCGUGAGAUGUUGGGUUAAGUCCCGCAACGAGCGCAACCCUUGUCAUUAGUUGCCAUCAUUUGGUUGGGCACUCUAAUGAGACUGCCGGUGACAAACCGGAGGAAGGUGGGGAUGACGUCAAGUCCUCAUGGCCCUUAUGGGUAGGGCUUCACACGUCAUACAAUGGUCGGUACAGAGGGUUGCCAACCCGCGAGGGGGAGCUAAUCCCACAAAGCCGAUCGUAGUCCGGAUCGCAGUCUGCAACUCGACUACAUGAAGGUGGAAUCGCUAGUAAUCGCGGAUCAGCAUGCCUCGGUGAAUACGUUCCCGGGCCUU
rnacentral:rRNA from 1 species